rnacentral:piRNA from 1 species
UAGGUGACUGAGAAAGACAACGAAUGGCC